UACGGGGGGGGCAAGCGUUGUUCGGAAUUACUGGGCGUAAAGGGCUCGUAGGCGGCCAACUAAGUCAGACGUGAAAUCCCUCGGCUUAACCGGGGAACUGCAUCUGAUACUGGAUGGCUUGAGUUCGGGAGAGGGAUGCGGAAUUCCAGGUGUAGCGGUGAAAUGCGUAGAUAUCAGGAGGAACACCGGUGGCGAAGGCGGAUCUCUGGGCCGUAACUGACGCUGAGGAGCGAAAGCAUGGGUAGCGAACAGG
rnacentral:rRNA from 1 species